rnacentral:rRNA from 1 species
GAUGAACGCUGGCGGUAUGCUUAACACAUGCAAGUCAAACGGACUCUUCGGAGUUAGUGGCGGACGGGUGAGUAACGCGUGAGAAUCUGGCUUUGGGUUCGGGACAACCACUGGAAACGGUGGCUAAUACCGGAUGUGCCGAGAGGUAAAAGAGAAAUUGCCUGAAGAUGAGCUCGCGUCUGAUUAGCUAGUUGGUGAGGUAAAGGCUCACCAAGGCAGCGAUCAGUAGCUGGUCUGAGAGGAUGACCAGCCACACUGGGACUGAGACACGGCCCAGACUCCUACGGGAGGCAGCAGUGGGGAAUUUUCCGCAAUGGGCGAAAGCCUGACGGAGCAAUACCGCGUGAGGGAAGAAGGCUCUUGGGUUGUAAACCUCUUUUCUUAGGGAAGAACAAAAUGACGGUACCUAAGGAAUCAGCAUCGGCUAACUCCGUG